rnacentral:snoRNA from 1 species
CAGUCUGUACUUUCAGGGAUCAUUUCUAUAGUAUGUUACUAGAGAAGUGAGAUUGAAAGCGUUAAGAGCCUAGGAGUCAGAAGGUCAUGGGU